rnacentral:ribozyme from 1 species
GCUGCUCUGAUAAUCACACACCUCUUCGUGGUGAGCAGCAGGCAACGAUCUUAGGAUUGGCGAAGAUGUGA